CAGUCGCCGCGGGAAUACAGAGGGUGCAAGCGUUAAUCGGAUUUACUGGGCGUAAAGGGCGCGUAGGUGGUUAUGUAAGUGAGAUGUGAAAUCCCCGGGCUCAACCUGGGAACUGCAUCUUAUACUGCGUAGCUGGAGUGCAGUAAAGGGUAGUGGAAUUUCCGGUGUAGCGGUGAAAUGCGUAGAUAUCGGAAGGAACACCAGUGGCGAAGGCGGCUACCUGGACUGACGCUGACACUGAGGCGCGAAAGCGUGGGGAGCAAACAGGAUUAGAUACCCCCGUAGUCCCUGUCUCUUAUAC
rnacentral:rRNA from 1 species